AGCCAAAUUAUUGCAAUGUAAGUCCCUGAACUCGGAGGCUUGAUCCACUAUCACUUGCUCUUGCCACUGUGUCAUAAUAUCUCAUUUUCAUAUAUAAGAUGAUAGUAACUGACUGAUCAUAUUAGGAGUGCGUUAUUGGCAGCCUUGUGAGGUUUUCUUCAUAACUUCUUCUCCUGUUUUUAAUGUUUGUAUUCUCUUUGUUGCAAGGUGUGGCUGCAGGUAAAGUUGUCAAGUUGAUCUGGUGCUUGCUUGAGCCAUUGAUUACUGCUGCUUUGCUAAGGUUCAAUGUCUUACUACAUGAGAAAUUUAUUCCAAUGCUUUCUCAAUCCCUUUACCAUGAUGACUACCAGAGGAACCUUCAAUGUGUAUAGAUGGUGAUGGAUAUGGGGACACACAAGAACUAGCAAACUUAAUACCAGAUGCCCUCAACUAUGAAUUCUUUAAUUAUUGGAGGCUUUCAUAUUCAUAUCAAUACAAGGUGGAAUAUGAUGCAGGUGAAUGCCUUUAUUUUGUUUCUUUAUGAUAUUCUCCUCUACUUAAUGAUAGAUGCAGUGCAUAGGGUCAUCGUGUCAGUUUGAAUGCUUUCAUGACAACCGGUAUAGCACUGAAUCAGGCAAGGUGUGAAUAAGUGUGCUUAAAUGCGUGCUUUGUUUAUGUGUUUACUGCUUAUUAUGUCAUACAGGUUGCCACUUAUGAAUCUGCCCUCUUUUAGGCACGUGUCUUUCCCACAUAUAUGUUGGUAAAUGUGUGCACGACAUAUUUUUCUGGCCAACUAGAUUACGAGAUCCUCCGCCAUCUUCCCCUCCUCACUAAGGAUGCCAGAUUGGUCUAGCAUCUUCCCCCCUAUUUAGGGGUCCUCACUUGGCCCCUCCUCUACUCGGCUCUCCUUUGCCCUGUUUCUCCUCUAUAAAAAACACGAAAACUACCACGAGAAUUAAUUGCUGCUUGCUGCUCUUCACAGCUAAAUAUCACAAUGAAGUCUAUCAAUUGCCAUCGUCCUAGAAGAAGAAGAGAUGAGCAGUCAAUAUACAGAGAAAAAAAUCACGACCAAUAUUUGCAUGAAUACUAAUUCUCACAACAAGUUAAUGAUUCAUAAAUAAUCUCCCGUUUCCUCUAACCUCUGUAUGUCUUUCUGUUGGGGAAACUGAUCCACGAACACCUAUGGGACCGGCGGACCGAGUCCCUUUCGGUUCGGCGGGGGGCGGAGAUCGCACGAAGAGCAGAUCGAGGCGAAGCACACAAGCAGUUUACCCAGCUUCGGAGCUCUCCGGAGAGAUAACACUCCUACUGCUGCAUGUCUGAGUGUAUUGAGUUCUUGCUUGGGAGCGCUGAGUGCUACAGUACACACUAGCUGCUAACGAGACCAAACGUGAGUGUUUUUCUGCCUCCCGAACCCCACUCUACGUUGCGCAUGGGCCUCCUUUUAUAUGCUGAAGGGGUCACCGACAGGUGGCAACGUAGAUAAGGGUAAAAAUGGAAAAGGAAUUGCAGUUGGUAGAACCACCUGUACAGUGUAUCCUACCUAACCCUGACGGCAGGGGACAAAGGCAUUAAAUGCCCGUCUGCGUCGCCCAAAUAGUGCAGAAAGGGACCGUCAGGGACGCCACCGCUCGCCACGAUGGCAGUCUUGUCAGCGUCGCUUGCCACCGCGCACCGCUGGCUGCACAGCCUCCUUCCACGCGCGCCUGGAAAGGCCCCAGGGCGACACGUUGGUGGAUGUGCUGGAGCGCGGGUACAGAGUGGUAGCUUGCCGCGGCAAGUGCCUUGCCGCGGCCGUUGUCUUGUCGCGUCCGAAAGCUUGUCGCUCGCCGGGCCUUGCCGGGACGCGUGGCGCGUCGCGGCAAGUUCCUUGAGAUGCCUUGGUUGGCCUUCCCGGCAAGCUCCUCUUGCCGGGGCCUUGUCUCCUUGGCUUGAAUACUUUGUUCUUGAAUGGUUCCAAAGGAAACACGGAGGACCUUGGCGGUCACCCGGCAAGCCUUGCCGCGGGGUGCUGCGACUGCCCGUGCACAAGUUCGGGAUACUAGGGUACCCCUACUCUAGUACACCGACAGGAGCCCCCGGGCCUGGGCCACACAUGGCGCCGAGCGCUGUUCGGCCAGGCCCAAAACAGGGCACGGGCACGCGCGGCCUGGGUUACGCUGUAUCUUACUCCGUAUCCACCGCGCCUUCCCCGAACUACACGCAUCGAAUGCGGCAUCGUGGGAGAGAUCGUGGGUGGUUUCUUUAUUCGGAAAGACGGAACGCCCGCCCCCUCCCUCUUUAUAAGCAGGGGAAACAGGGGCAGUUCACCCAUCUCGCCAGUUGCUACUCCAAUCUCAGAAAUCUCCGCCGCUCCCUCCUUCUUCCCAAAGCUGAAAGAGAGCAGCGCUCCGCUCCCCAUCGCCACCAGCAUCACCAACACCGUCGAUCUCCCCCACCACCUCUGCCAUGGCUCCGAAAGCCGACAAGGGGAAGGUCGUGAAGUCGGCCGAGGCGUAGCGGCUCGCGGCGCUGCGAAAGGAACGGGCCAUCUUCCCCCCCAGCUCGCCGCAAAGGAGCUGAGGGAGUACUACUACCUCUUCUGGUGGACGGAGACGCGAGCGCAUCCGCGCACGAAGGUACUUCCAGCUGCCGCUUCGGAACUAGCUCCGAAUGGAUACCCUUUCUUCGCGCUGUUCUUCUACUGCGGGCUCUGCCCGCCUUUCUCUGAAUUUUUCUGCGAUAUCAUGAACACCUACGGGUUCCGCCUCCUUGACUUCACCCCCAAUGCCGUUCUGACCAUGGCAGUUUUCGCACAUCUCUGCAAAAAAAUUGUCGGAGUCCAUCCAAAUGUCGCUCUUUUUCGCCACUUCUUUAUGCCCCGAGUUGAGAGAGGAGAACCUUUAUCCGGCGGAAUUGCCUGGAUCUCAAGAGCUGGCAAGAAGGAGGCUUAUCUGGAGGGAGAGCUCCGUAGCAAGUGGGAGGAAUGGAGAGCAGAAUGGUGCUGGAUUGUCGAGGAGAACCCGCAGCCAUUCACCGCCCAGCGCCAAGUCCCAAUAGCGUGCGGCAACGAUUGGAGCAACAUGGCCCCGGAAGACGAUAGGCUGUAGUUUGCCAUCACUCGGAUCUUACGCCUCAGGCUUGCCGGGCUCACGUAGGCGCCGUUGGCGCAGAUUUUAUUCGCCGCCGCAUCGCCCCCCUGCAGGAGAGGAGGAGACCCGCCUGGGAGUUCCAGAACGCGGCGGAUAUCAUGAGGCUGCGCCCGGGCCUCAACUUCAACUUCACUAUCCUGGAACUGGAUGCGAUGAUCCUGGAACUGUUCAAGCGCGAUCCUCAGCAUCCUGAAGCGUUCAUGUUGCCGCGGGGUGUCGUCCCGCUGUGCAACAACUCCUCGCUCGACCGCAUCCGUGCAAUGAUGCCGCUGUGCGACUCGCAUGGAAUUGUCCCAACUUGGCAAGAGCCUGCAGACGUCGUCGUGCAGGAUUUCUUUGAUGGUCUGGUAGAAGUGCCGGUCCGCCCCGAUGAACAGAAAAGCCUCACCCGCGACACCAUUGAUGCGGAGAUGCAGCGCAUCGCCACUAGGCUGGAAGAGGCGGCAGCAGCCGCUGCCGCGGGUGAGUUUGGAUUCAUCGUGGAAGAGGCAGAGGCAGCAGAGGCGGCAAGCCUUGUCGAGCGAGAGGAGUUUGCCGGCGAGGAAGAGUUUGUCGGGCCUGAAGCUGAGUCGAGCGAGCCUGCCGAGGGCACGAGCGACUCGUUGAAGAUCGGCUCCUCCUCCUCCCCACCUUCAACCAGCUCGCCGCAAGCGGAGCCCCCAGAUCCACCAAGAAGGCGUUUCCGCAAGGCUGGGGACGUAGCGGGGCGGCAGGCAAGUCAACAGCCGCCGUGCCGCACGACACGCUCUAUCGCGGCAAGCACUGUUGCCGCGGGAGCGCCUCACGCUGCUGCGGCAACUGGAGCGGGGUCUUCCCGGUCCACCGCUACUGCUCCUGCCAAGCGGACAAGGGAACCUACUCCUCCGCCUCGUCGCACCGGAGGCGAGCCGGACUUCGAUCACUUCGCGCUCAGCUCCGACAAGGAAGAAGAAGAGUAAGAUUCUUCGCUGUACUUGUAGUUCUUCAAUUCUUGUUGUUUUGUCUUGUGUCUGAUUUGCUUUACCCCGAACCCAUUCCUUUUCAGGACUCUGGCCCAGAGAGCGGCGAAGAGAGCCAAGGUCCCGGUGAUUGUCAUCGAGGACGAACCCACCGCGACAACAGGGGGCGUGUCCGAGAUCACCUUGCCGGACCCGGCAACUUUUCCCCAAAGCAGCCCCCAACGCAGUCUCCAGCGUAAGUAUAUGGUUUACUUCCUGCUACCAGGCGCGCAUGGGUGCUCUUUCUUUGCUGAUAUCUGACUGUUGGUUUGUGUAGGAGCAGAGCAGCCUCACCAGGAGUGCCCGGAAGCCGCUCCCGAAAUGCCAUCUGCUUCGACUACACCGCCAAGGGAGGAUUCCCCGGCAAGGGAGCGUUCUCCGGCAAGGGAGAAUUCUCCGGCAAGGGAUAGUUCUCCGGCAAGGGACGGCACCAGCGAUCCUCCGGUGGUUGAGACCAUGACUGCGGAUCCUAGUACAGGUAAUCCAUUUGCUUGAAAACUUCCCUUUGGUUCUUUUUCUUCUGAUUUUCUUUUUGAAUAUAUGCUUGACUUUUCUCCUUUUUCCGUUCAUCAGACCCAUCUGCCACGGAGCCGAUGGAAACCGAGGUCGCCGGCGAGGAGAACGUGCGCAGCAAUACCGACGACGCCGUCGCCACCGAAGGAGAAGCCGACGCUGAUGAUCCCGCCUGCGAAGAGGCUGCCAAAGCUGCUGCCGCAGAAGCUGGCGAGGGAUCCGGCGAUCGCACUGACGGCCCCGAGGCCGCAGGAGCGUCCGGCGCUACGCCGACCGCCGAUUCCUCCGCCGCUGCUGCAGCACCAGGCUCCGAAGAGCCCCAGCCCGACGCCUAUUUGAAGGCCGGCGACGGCAUCUUCAUCAAGCUCCCCUGGGCGUCAAGCUCCAGGGCGCCGGUCGAAGGAGAGGUCUUGGAUGGAGAGGUGCUCGCCUCCGCUGGGCUGAUGCUGGUCGACGCGCCAAGCAGCAGCAGCGACGAGCCUGAGGAGGAGCGGCUGCUGCGGAAGUUGUUGUUGCUUUACCGCGCCCGACAAGCCAAGCUGGAAUCCCGAGAAGCGCUUGUCGCGAAGGCGGGAGUGGACAUCGAGAAGCGCGCGGAGGAGCUCCGGGGUCUCAGGCAGGAAGCUCUCCGGUCCCUGGCAGAGGAGCGGGAGCAAGUCGCCGAGGAGCGGAAAGCCUUCCUCCUCGAGAAGGCUGAAGUUGAAGAGCAACAGCGGCUUGUUGCCGAAAAGCUAUCUGCGCAAGAAGGCGAGUUGGUGCAGCGCAAGGUCAACCUUGAUAGCCACGAGGAGGAGCUUGCAGCGCGCGAGCAAGCAAUUGGCGGGGCUCUCAAGGAAGCAAAGGAUGCUGCCGCGGCUGCCGAGGCCGCCAAGAAGGAGCUGGAGACGAAGAUGGCGCAGCUGGAGGCCGAUCUCAAGGCGAGCGGCGAGGAGCUUGCCGCGCUCAAGUGUGAGCGCGAGAAGGACGCCGCCGCUCAUGGCGAGCUGCAGGGUCGUCUCGCUGAGAGGAGCAAAGAGCUUAGCGCCGCCAAGGACUCCAACGCAGAUCUUGAGUUAAAGCUGGCCACUUUGACCAAGACGCUGGACGGUGCCAGGGAGCAGGAAGUGGCCUUGAAGGAGAAGAUCAAGGCCGACGAGGCGCUGCUGGCGAGUGCUGCUGCCACCCAGAAUGCUUUUAGGGAGACUGUGGAGCACUGGACCGAGGGUCUCAUGAAUGUUGCCGCCGCCAUCGACGGGGAGCUCGCGCAGCUGGGGAUGGAGGACCUCGGGUAUUCUUCCGACGAGCACCUCCAACCCAGCGCCAAGCUCAGCUUGUUCUUCAAAGGCGUGGCGACGGCCCUCCAGCGACUCCGGGAGAAGAUCCCAAAGCAGCUGGCCGACGAGUCGCGCAAGAUCUGCGCGGGAGUUCUUCAAAAGGUGCUGGUGAAGGUGGCCUUCCGCAACCCAGGCCUCAACCUCACCAACGUCCUUAGGUCCCUGCCGCCAGAUGCUGAUCUGGAAGCGCUCAAGGCCCUUGUCGCACCCAUUGUGGACAAGGUGAGCGAGAUCAAGAGGGUUGAGGGCGAUCGCGUAGAUUAGGCCGCCCGUUUUCUCUUUUUCUUUGUCGCUACUGGUCAUGUCAUGAGAACAAUCUGUUAGAGCUGCGACAAGCUAUCUUGUAAUAUAACUCUAUUUUAGGUAGAGAUUGCUGUGUUAUUUCCUUUACUUGAUUCCUUCCUUUGUAUGUUUUUGCCCUACACUUUUAGGGAACUUGUCGGCGCAGGCACCUUAGCCGCGAGCGCUGAGUGCGCGACAUCAGCAGCCUGCUGGCGGUGCCGCUUCCGACAAGAAACCUUGUCGCAACUAGUCGCAGCUCACUUAAGUUGUUGAGCGGACUCGAAACAAAGUAAGGGCGCAACUAGCUACGAGUUGGUUCCUCCGCGCACAGGUUUUCCAUACAAAGCACGGUCGUUCGAGGAAGAUAACUUAAAAAUUAAAACUGAUUGCUCAAACUUUGGCAACUUAGCUUUUCUGUCGUUUGCUUUCCGGUAAGGUGAAACUUCCUUGAACGAUGCCUGGUCCACACCAUUAUCUCGUCCUUUCCCCCCGGCAAACUUGUGGGCGAGGGAACCUUCCUUUCCUUUUUGAGAAAAAGAAAGAAGAGAAAAUAAAGAUAUGGAGCCUUACGGCUCGUUAUUUCUUACCGGGGGUAGGCGCUGCACAAAGUGUGAGAUAACGCAUGCCAAAAAAUAGUAUAAAGCAUGAAAUUGACAAGAUGUGCGAAGCACGUGAGCUUUACUUAUGCACGGGGUCUGCACCCAGCUUUGUACAAAGGAUUACAUGCAACAUCGGCAAGACUUGUACAAAAGGUGGUUGCCGGAAAUGGUUCCGGCAACCACGCCCUACGGGUAAAACUUACGAAGAUGCUCAAUGUUCCAGGAGUUGCUCACCGGAAUGCCAUCUUCGGUCUCAAGGCGGACAGCGCCAGGCCUAGUGACUCGUUUCACCCGGUAAGGGCCUUCCCACUUCGGCGUCAACUUGUUGGAAUUCUUGGCGGACUGAACGCGCCGAAGAACAAGGUCGCCUUCCUCGAAACUUCUGGCAUUAACUUUGCGGCUAUGGUAGCGGCGCAAAGCUUGCUGGUAUUGAGCAGCUCGUACAGCAGCCUGAAGACGGUCCUCCUCAAGGAGCAGCGCGUCAUCUUGUCGCAGCUGCUCUUGCUCAAGCUCAUCAUAAGCGAGCACUCGAGGUGAUCCGUAUACGAGUUCCGUGGGGAGAACUGCCUCUGCUCCAUAGACUAGAGCGAAAGGUGUUUGGCCAGUGGCUCGAUUUGGCGUCGUCCUGAUCGACCAAAGAACCACCGGCAGCUCCUCAAUCCAGUUCCUUCCGCACUUGCGCAGCCUGUCGAAAGUCCUGGUCUUGAGCCCGCGCAGCACUUUAGCAUUUGCCAUCUCCGUUUGACCAUUGCUUCUCGGAUGAGCAACAGAAGCGAAGCAGACCUUGGCGCCAAGAUCUUGGGCGUACUGCAUGAAGGUGCGGCUCGUGAAUUGUGUGCUGUUGUCAGUGAUGAUCCUAUUAGGGAUCCCGAAACGGCAAACAAUCGACCUGAAGAACUUGACUGCUGACUAUGCUGUCACCUUCCUCACUGGUUCCACUUCCGGCCACUUUGUGAACUUGUCGAUUGCAACGUACAAGUACUCAAAGCCCCCGACAGCUCGGGGAAAAGGGCCGAGGAUAUCGAGCCCCCAGACCGAAAAUGGCCAGGAUAAAGGGAUCGUCUGGAGAGCUUGAGCUGGCUGGUGUAUCUGUUUGGAAUGGAACUGGCACGCUUCACACUUGGUAACUUGUGCAGUUGCAUCCUGGAGGGCUGUCGGCCAAAAGAAAACUUUGCCGGAACGCUUUACCGGCAAGUGCUCUUGCGCCAAUGUGGUGACCACAUAUGCCUCCAUGUAUCUCUGCCAACAGCUUUUGUCCGUCCUCCCGGUGAAUACACUUCAAUUUCACGAUGUUGAGCCUUCUUCUGUAUAGUGUGUCGUCGACAAACUGGUACAUACUUGACUGCCGGGCUACUCUUUCUGCUUCUUCUUGCUCUUCGGGAAGUUCUCCUAUCUGAAGGAAACGGACAAUCUGUUGUGCCCAUGCUGGAGCUUGCGGCUCGACAACAAAGACUAAAGGCACAUCUGCUGCUGCGGGAACAUCUGCUUCUACGGUGUCACAUCCCUAGCCUCUGGUGCUGCCUGGUGUUUGCAUCAUGUUUAAAUUCUGAAACUUGAACUGAGGGAAAUUGGAAGCCUCAAAACCCUAAAUAAAAGAAGGGCAAAAACCCUAAAAUCUCAUUCAUUUGUUCCAAAAUGCUCUUCUUAAAUGUUUGAUAAUUUUUGGCAAGGGUUCUGGUCCCAACCAAAAUAUUGAACAUUUUUAAGGAUUUAUUUUUGGGACUUUGAAUUUAAAUCAUUAGCUAUUUGAAUUUGAAUUAUAUUCAUAUAAUUAGAAUAUAAUUCAAAUAACCCUGAAAUAUUUUAUGAGCUUUUGGAAAAGUCCAUCUAGCAAAAUAAAAAUAUUUAGAGGAGCUUUUGGCAUUGUUUGAAUUAUUUUUUAAAUUCAAAACAGUGGCAAAAUAAAUUGAAAAACAAAACAGAAGAAAAAUAUGAAACAGAACAGAACUUACCUGGCGCCCACUUACCUGGCGCCCACUUACCUGGCCCAGCUCCUCCAGCGGCCCAGCCCAGCCCAUCUACCUCGCCGCUCGUCGUCUUCCUCUGCCAGUAGGCAGAGGCGAGGCGUGGCGCGCGCCCGAGAGCCCCGGCCACCUCCUGCUUCGCGCUGGAGGCCGCCCUUCGUCCUAAUCCACGCCACGGAGCGCCACGCAGCCCCUGGCUCUCUCUCACUCUCUCCCUCGCCUCAUCCUCUCCUCUGCUCUCUCUCCCUCUCUGCCCGAGCGGAGCUCGUCGCCACCGAUGCCGUUCGCCGCGCCACAGCCACCCCCUCGCUCCCUCCUCGCAUCCCUGAGCUCCGUCCCGACCCCAUGAAGCUCUACCACGACGCAUGCGAAGCCGGGUGCCCUGUAGCCACGCCAUCACCGCCAUCUUCAUCGCCAUGGCCGGCGAUCGCCGCCAUUCGAUUCGCAGCACCGAAGACGCCCCCGAGCUCGCUGACCACCUCAUCGUGCUCCCUGUGAGCUCCUGCUGCCUCCUCUUUGCUCGCUCCCUCUGUUCCCGUCCCCUAGCUCCAUCUUCCACCACGGCCGAAGCUCGCCGCCGCCGUGCCUCGUCGCCGUCGUGGCCAGAGCCACUGUGGCUCGAAGCCGGGCACACCACCGUGCUCCACACCUCACCAGGAGCACGUAGCACGCACCAACGCCUCCCCUAGCGCCCUGCAUCGCCUAACCCGCCGUUGGCCGAACUCCGGCCGCCGCCUCCCUCGCCGCUGCCGACGCCACAGCUAACCCCAACUCCUCUGGCUUGCUCCAUUGGAUGCGCACGAGCUCGAGCUCCCUGUAUAACCCCUCCGUGCAUCGAAUGGGCGCCCGAGCAGCCAUCCCGGCGAGCCACCGCCGCGUCUGGUCGUUGCCGGCGGCUAGACGCCGGUGGAUUAGCCCGGUUGACCAGGGAUUUGACCCCCCUGGGUCACUGACGUGUGGGCCCGUCCCCUGCUAACUUUUGGUUAAGUUAAUAACUAAGUUUAAUUAAGCCACUGACUCACUGACAUGCGGGCCCGGCCCGACUAGUUAAACUAGGUUAGGUUUAAGUUAUAUUAGGAUUAGCCGUAGUCACUGACCAGUGGGCCCCACUGGUCAGGUUUGACCCGGACCAGCCCAGUUGACUCUGCUGACGUCACAGUGACGUGGUGCUGACGCCAUAAAUCAUUUCUAGAUUUAUUAUUAUUCAGGAAAUUCCAGAAAUAGCUAAAACUUCAAUAAAUCAUAGAAAAUUAACCGUAACUCCAAAUCAAAUAAUUUAUAUAUGAAAAAUUAUCAGAAAAAUUCAAGGAAUCCAUCUGUACCAUUUUCAUGCAUGUUAGAACAACUUAUAGAUGCUGUUUAGCACAAAUCAUAUUAAGGGCAUUUAAAUAAACAUAUAUGGAGUUGGAAUUUGAAUCAUGUAUUCAAACCAACUUCAUUUAAAUCAUAGCUAGAUGCAUUAGCCCAAAACACAUUCAUUUUGCCAUGUCAUGAUCAUGCAUCAUAUUGUGCAGUGCAUUGAUUGUGUUCCCUUCUGUGUUGCCGGUAUUUGUCCCCUCUUGAUAGACGUGAUACCGGCGAUGUGAUCGAUGACACCGAUGAAGAACUAUAUUAUCUUCAGAAGUGCCAGGCAAGCAAAACCCCCUUGUUCAUUCCGAUACAAUCCUACUCUCUCGCUCCUGCUCUCUUUUACUGCAUUAGGACAACAUCGAUUCAUCUGUUACUUGCUGCGGUAGCUGAACCCCUUUAUCCUUUGCAUGACCUGUCAUUGCCACAGUAAAUAGAUGAAACCCACUAGCAUGAGUAGGAGUUGUUUGAGCCCUGUUGUGCCUACUCAUUCAUGUUUGUUUGUCAUGCCUGCUACUGCUUAGAGUUGAGUCAGGUCUGAUUCAUCCGGGAUGAAUCAGAGGUGUGUGAACAUGUCCUACGGUGUGUGAGCUAAGCGUGUGAACACGAUUUGGUAAAGGUAGCGGUGAGAGGCCAUGUAGGAGUACAUGGUGGGUUGUCUCAUUGCAGCCAUCCUCAGGAACUGAGUUCUGUGUUUGUGAUCCAUGAUUCAACUACUACCACGCAUUGGGCCCGAAACCAAUGGACCCUCUCGGCUUCUUGGUCACCCUUGUCCUCUGUCCAGGAGUUGCAAGUAGUUUCUGGUGUUUGUAGUAUGCUGGAGGCCGUGCGCAGCGCUGACCGUAGGGGUGGGCUGUGAUGCGGUAGGCACGUGGCCGGGUAAACCGGGCGCCCGUUUGGUGUCUCGGGAACCCUGUUCACAUCGUUUGGGGCUGUGAGCGAAACUCCGGCCGGAUCUCCUCAUGGAUGGAACCCGAAUAGGCGAUAAACCUGGACUAGAGACUUGAGUGUUUAGGUAGGCCGUGGCCGACACCCACGUUGGGCUUCCGCUUGAAGGUUGCCGAGUACAUGUCGUGUAAACGGCGGUAAGUGGUGAGAGCGUGUGUGAAGAAGUACACCCCUGCAGGGUUAACAUCAUCUAUUCGAAUAGCCGUGUCCGCGGAAAAGGACUUCUGGGUUGCUUAUAUCAGUUCAUAGACAAUUGAAAGUGGAUACUCUAAAAUACGCAAGAUAAGCGUGAGUGCUAUGGAUGGCGUUCUCGUAGGGAGACGGGAGCGGAUCCAUAGUGGUGUAUUGAUAUGGUGAAUAUGUGGACUCGUGUGCGCCACCUCAAAAGAGUUACAUUGCAGUCGUAGUUUAGGAUAGCCACCGAGUCAAAGCUGGCUUGCUGCAGUUAAACCCCACCACCCCUUUGUUGAUAAUGAUGCAUAUGUAGUUAGUUCUGAUGUAAGUCUUGCUGGGUACAUUUGUACUCACGUUUGCCUAUUUUAUGUUUUUGCAGAGAGACUUCAGUCUCACUAGUAGUUCCACGUGGACUUCGACGUUUAGCUUGAUACCUCAGCUACGAUCUUGUGCCCUCGGCAGGAUCUGAUAGAUAGUCAGGCUUCUCAGCCUUUUUCAUUUAUAGAUGUCUGUACUCAGACAUGAUAGCUUCCGCUUGUGCUUUGACUUGUAUGCUCUGAGUGUUGGGUCAUGAGACCCAUGUUUGUAAUAUCUCGCUCCUCGGAGCCUAUUGAAUAAACUACUUGAGUCGUAGAGUCAUUUUGUGAUGCCAUGUUGUAUUGCACAUAUCGAGCAUAUUGUGUGUAUGUUAUUGAAAUGCUUGGUAUGUGUGGGAUCUGACCAUCUAGUUGUUUAUCUUUAGUAGCCUCUCUUACCGGGAAAUGUCUCCUAGUGUUUCCACCGAGCCAUGGUAGCUUGCUACUGCUCCGGAACACUUAGGCUGGCCGGCAUGUGUCCUUCUUCGUUCCUGUGUCUGUCCCUUCGGGGAAAUGUCACGCGAUGAAUACCAGAGUCCUGUUAGCCUGCUACAGCCCGGUUCACCGGAGUCCUGCUAGCCCAGUGCUACAGCCUGGAUUCACUCGCUGAUGACCGACACGUUCGAUGCUGGGUCAUGGAUGCCUGUCCCUGUAAGUCUGUGCCACUUUGGGUUUACGACUAGCCAUGUCAGCCCGGGCUCCUUAUCAUAUGGAUGCUAGCGACACUGUCAUAUACGUGUGCCAAAAGGCGCAAACGGUCCCGGGCAAAGGUAAGGCGACACCCGUGGGAAUACCGUGCGUGAGGCCGCAAAGUGAUAUGAGGUGUUACAUGCUAGAUCGAUGUGGCAUUGAGUCGGGGUCCUGACAGCGUUGGUAUCAGAGCUUGACUACCUGUAGGAUUACCAAGCCAAACUGGUCGAAGUUGAGUCUAGAAAUUCUUUGGUUAUAUAAGGGAAUUGAUUGUGGGAUGGAACGUAAGGCUCUUUUUACUCCUUAUACCUCAUGGCCUUCUGAUCUGAGUCAUCAUCUUCUCUUCUAUGGGGAUUAAGAACUAGGUUAUCUCUUCUUUCCAUCAGGAUCACGUGUUACUAAUCCGUAGACUUAUAGAAUUGUUGGAAUUAAGCCUCGUUUCAGAUCCUAUUACUUCCGUAUGUUAAUUGUUGAUCUCGAGACCUUGAUGUGUGGGCCCAGGCGCCUGCCUAAUUAGUGUUAGGUUAGUUAGUGUUAAUUAACUUAGUUAAUUAGGUGAGCCACUGACAUGCGGGCCCCGCCCGGCUAACUAAGUUAGUUAGGGCUAAUCAUAUUUAGGUUAGUCACUGACCAGUGGGCCCAAUCCAGUUAGUUAGGGCUAACUAACUUGGUUAGUUGACUGGGUCACUGACCAGUGGGUCCCACUGGUCAGGUUUGACCUGGUCGACGCCUUUGACCUGCUGACGUCACCCCGGCGUCAUGCUGACGCAGUAUAUGCUUCUGGGAUUUUAAAUAAGUCAGAAAUGAUUUAUUUAUUUUCAGAAUAUGCCCUAAACUUCAAUAAAUCAUAGAAAUUCAACCGUAACUCCAAAUUAAAUAAUUUAUAUAUGAAAAAUUAUCAGAAAAAUUCAAGGAAUCCAUCUGUACCAUUUCCAUGCAUGUUAGAACAACUUAUCACCACUGUUUAGGACAAAUCAAUUAAAUGGCAUCUGAAUAAUCACAUAUGGAGUUUGAAUUUGAAUCCUGGAUUCAAACCAACUUCAUUUAAUCUGGUUUAGUUGCAUCAGCACAAAUCACAUCAUAUUGCCAUGUCACAUUCAUGCAUCAUAUUGUCGCAUUGCAUUGAUUGCGUUCUUCCUUGUUUGCCGGUAAUUGUCCCCUCUCGAUAGACGUGUACCGGCGAUGUGAUCGAUGACACCGAUGAAGAACUAUAUUAUCUUCAGAAGUGCCAGGCAAGCAAAACCCCCUUGUUCAUUCCGAUACAAUCCCACUCUCUCACUCCUGCUCUCUUUUACUGCAUUAGGACAACAACGAUUCAUCUGUUACUUGCUGCGGUAGCUGAACCCCUUUAUCCUUUGCAUGACCUGUCAUUCCACAGUAAAUAGAUGAAACCCACUAGUAUGAGUAGGAGUUGUUUGAGCCCUGUUGUGCCUACUCAUUCAUGUUUGUUUGUCAUGCCUGCUACUGCUUAGAGUUGAGUCAGGUCUGAUUCAUCAGGGAUGAAUCAGAGGUGUGUGAACAUGUCCUACUAUGUGUGAGCUAAGUGUGUGAACACGAUUUGGUAAAAGGUAUCGGUGAGAGGCCAUGUAGGAGUACAUGGUGGGUUGUCUCAUUGAAGCCGUCCUCAGGAACUGAGUUCUGUGUUUGUGAUCCAUGAUUCAGCUACUACCAUACAUUGGGCCCUGAAAUAUGACCCCGCUCGACUUCUUAUUCACCCUAGUCCUCUGUCCAGGAGUUGCAAGUAGUUUCUGGUGUUUGUAGCUUACUGGAGGCCGUGGACAGCGCUGACCAUAGGGGUGGGCUGUGAUGCGGUAGGUACGUGGCAUGGUGUACCGGAUGCCCGUUUGGUAUCUCGGGAACCCUGUUCACAUCGUUUGGGGCUGUGAGCGAAACUCCGGCCGGAUCUCCUCAUGGAUGGAACCCGAAUAGGCGAUAAACCUGGACUAGAGACUUGAGUGUUUAGGUAGGUCGUGGUCUACACCCACGUCGGCUUUCGCUUGAAGUCUGCCGAGCACAUGUCGUGUGCAGACGCUAAGUGGUGGAAACAUGUAUGAAGAAGUACACCCCUGCAGGGUUAAAAUCAUCUAUUCGAAUAGCCGUGUCCGCGGAAAAGGACUUCUGGGUUGCUUAUAUCAGUUCAUAGACAAGUGAAAGUGGAUACUCUAAAAUACGCAAGAUAAGCGUGAGUGCUAUGGAUGGCGUUCUCGUAGGGAGACGGGAGCGGAUCCAUAGUGGUGUAUUGAUAUGGUGAAUAUGUGGACUCGUGUGCGCCACCUCAAAGAGUUACUUGCAGUCGUAGUUUAGGAUAGCCACCGAGUCAAAGCUGGCUUGCUGCAGUUAAACUCCACCAUCCCCUUUGUUGAUAAUGAUGCAUAUGUAGUUAGUUCUGAUGUAAGUCUUGCUGGGUACAUUUGUACUCACGUUUGCCUAUUUUAUGUUUUUGCAGAGAGACUUCGGUCUCGCUAGUAGUUCCGCGUGGACUUCGACGUUUAGCUUGAUACCUCAGCUACGAUCUUGUGCCCUCGGCAGGAUCUGGUAGAUAGUCAGGCUUCUCAGCCUCUUUUUCAUUUAUAGUUGUCUGUACUCAGACAUGUUAAGCUCUCGCAUGUGCUUUGACUUGUAUGCUCUGAUUGUUGGGUCAUGAGACCCAUGAUUGUAAUGUCUCGCUCCUCGGAGCCUAUUGAAUAAACUACUUGAGUCGUAGAGUCAUUUUGUGAUGCCAUGUUGUAUUGCACAUAUCGAGCAUAUUGUGUGUAUGUUAUUGAAAUGCUUGGUAUGUGUGGGAUCUGACUAUCUAGUUGUUUAUCCUUAGUAGCCUCUCUUACCGGGAAAUGUCUCCUAGUGUUUCCACUGAGCCAUGGUAGCUUGCUACUGCUCCGGAACACUUAGGCUGGCCGGCAUGUGUCCUUCUUCGUUCAUGUGUCUGUCCCUUCGGGGAAAUGUCACGCGAUGAAUACCGGAGUCCUGUUAGCCCGCUACAGCCCGGUUCACCGGAGUCCUGCUAGCCCAGUGCUACAGCCUGGAUUCACUCGUUGAUGACCGACACGUUCGAUGCUGGGUCAUGGAUGCCCGUCCCUGUAAGUUUGUGCCACUUUGGGUUUACGACUAGUCAUGUCAGCCCGGGCUCUUUAUCAUAUGGAUGCUAGUGACAUCAUCAUAUACGUGAGCCAAAAGGCGCAAACGGUCCCGGGGAAAGGUAAGGUGACACCCGUGGGAAUACCGUGCGUGAGGCCGCAAAGUGAUAUGAGGUGUUACAUGCUAGAUCGAUGUGGCAUUGAGUCGGGGUCCUGACAGCGUUGGUAUCAGAGCUUGACUGCCUGUAGGAUUACCAAGCCAAACUGGUCGAAGUUGAGUCUAGAAAUUCUUUAGUUAUAUAAGGGAAUUGAUUGUGGGAUGGGAACGUAAGGUUCUUUUUACUCCUUUACCUCAUGCCCUUCUGAUCUGAGUCAUCUCAUCUUUCCUACGGGAUUAAGAACUAGGCUAUCUCUUCUUUCUAUCAGGAUCUCGUGUUACUAAUCUGUAGACUUGUAAGAUUGUUGGACUCAAGCCUCUGUCCAGUUUCUACUACUUCCGUACGUUAACUGUUGAUCUCGAAACCUUGAUAUUGUGCUUCUGAGUGGUUAUGCCACCAUUUUUGUGAAUGUCUCAAAUCUUUUCUGAGCAUUUACAGCCGUUAUGCUGUCCGAGUCAUCCCAGGUUUCUAAAUAGUCUGAUGCAUUUGCAAAAUCCUUUCCCUCUGGUUUCGAUGUUCCUUUAUGCCAGCUCAAUCACACUAAUUGUUGAGUUGAGGUAUUCUAUUGCCUUGACAUUUAUGUUGGAAUUAUUAUUAUGACCCUAGGUGUUUUAGGGAGUCACCUAGAAAUCUAGCAACGUUUUGUGUUCCCAGUGUGAAGAUUCUGGCCAUCAUUCUCGAAAGCAUCUCGUGAUGCUACUUAGUAAUAGGUAUUCUACCCCUGGGUUUUGAACCCGAGAUUCACUCUACUUACCUCAUGUCGAUAGUGUUUGCUAGUUCCUUUAGGAUAUUAGUAACUUUUGCAUUAGUCCUCGAGGUCCAUGGUAUUUUCCUUCUUCCAAAUACUAUGAACCGUUUAUGGCAGAAGUUCCUUGAACCAAAAGAUCACAACCAGAGCUCUUGAUGAGUUCUCGAUUCUAUGUUAUGACUCUGCCAGUUCUACCUUUUCGCAUGGAUUAUCCGGAAGAAAUAUGUUGAACUUCGCUCGACAUACUAAUCUAUGCAUCCACAACUCAGAAAGUUAUAUGUUCCUCAAGUUGUUCCCCUUUAGCUGUUUUCUGACCCUCGUCUAUCAGUUGAUAGUCAAGAUUAUGUGUGCAUUCGUUUAUCGAUGCCUAUUACUCUUGUGGUCUGUCAAGCCAUUCUAUUCCGGAAUGACUAGGAGAAACAAACUCCAGUACCUUAUCCAUUUCCAGGAUUGGGUCAAAGUAGUUGUACUCCACAGAUCAAAAUACUAAUCCAGUUUUUGUUCUGUUCCACCCUGAAGUGUUACCAUCUUUAUAUUAAGAUUAUCAUGGGAAUUGCACACCAUCCUAUGAAUUCUUGGUACAGUGAUACUUCUUGCCAUCAUUGUUCAUUCCUCGGUUCCUGUGUUAUUGUAACCGGAAUGCCGACAAGUGAAUCAUGGUGUGUGAAAUCAAUACUGCUAGCAACUCUGUUGCUUGGUAGUUAAAUGGACAAUAAUUUCAUUCUUAGCAUGUUGGUUCUUGAAUCAUCAUUCUAAGACUGUUCGUGCUACCUAGUCCUUAUUCCUGGUGCACUCUUUGAUUGAUGAGUAAGGAUUUUGUCAAGUCCUCGCUCAUUUGAUCAUAUCAUCUUGCCCUGAAAAGCAAGAUUGUUCUCGAGCUUAGUAACAUACCGGUGGUUCGUGAUUUUCUGAAUAUCCUCUCGAAAGUAUCACCAGGUUGUCACCUGACCGCUAUGUUGAGCUCGUGAUCAAGUUGGUUUCUUGUGAACCACCCUCUCUCCAAGAUCGGUGUUAGAUAUCCCUGAGCUAGUUGGUUAAGCUAGACAACAACUUGGAGAGUUGGAAGAUAAAAGCUUGCCUGACUUAGUUCGUUCCAAAGGGAUAUUCUUGUGUAGUGUGUGUUGAAGAAAGAUGAUAUCUUCAUCGAUUGGUCCCUGUGAUCAGUUGCUGGACCUAUUGUCUUAUCAAUCCCUUGAUUUGAGUGUGGGCUAUCGUCAAAUCAAAUCAGUACCAACGAUGCUCGUAAAGUUGUCUUACUCGUGGUUGAUCCCUCGAGCAUACACCAUUACAUCUUUGGUAUGACCAAUACUAUCACCGUGUUCACAUGGUGGUGGAAGUCCAGUUAUAUGGAAAUUCCGAUGAGUUGUUGUUGAGCCCAUUGACAACAUCCUUAUCUCCCCCCAUGAUUCAUGUUGAACAUCAACCUAGUGUUGGAAACUUUUAUAGGCAUUUUCUUCAUGCCCCGUUCAUGAAGUAUAUGUUUGGAUGAAAGAAGUGACUUCCUUUGAUUCACGUGCAUUUGAUGUAAGUUGCCGCCGUGAAUUCGAGAAAGCAUGUUUUUAUCUCCUCUGGAACCAUCCCAAGUCAGUUAUGCACGUGCGAAGUAUUCUGUGGUUUGAUAGACUGAUCAUCUUCAUUCCAUAUGUGUAUCCUAGCACACCAAGCCACUGACUGAUUUGUUCAAGGAAAAGGAGUUGCUGUGCAAAUACUAGUUCGUGCACAAGAUCCCUAUAUCCCUAAUGGUGGUUCCCUACCAGAACUCGGUAGUGUUUUAUUGUAAGACUACCACGUGAUCAUGUUUGUCUGAGACAGCGUGUUCACACAUGUGUAGCAGAACCAGCUCAUGUUUUGGAGCUUGCUAUCGUAGUUCAUUUCCCGAGAAUCUCGCAACGUCAUUUUGUCGAUUUGUGUUGCAAACUUUCAUUUUUCUUCCUAGACUCGAUGAGCCUGGAAUAUCCUGACACCAACCAAAUCUGAAUCUCAGGCAGAUAUGAUGGUUUGGAACAUUUCCCAAGAACUAUAAUAUCGGCCCCUCGAAAACCGGUAAAGUGGAUGUCAUGGCCAACACACCCAGCCGGAAGACCUAUUAUUGUAGUAUCUUGAUUGAAGCAGUUGGCCACAUCCCCAUAAGGAUCUCGUAGAACUUAUUCUAGUAGUUGUUCCUUAUGGAUUCUUGAGCUUCCGAAGUCCGACCUUUUACUUGAUGUUCUAGUAAUCAAACCAUAUCUAUGAAUGGGAUACACUAGCACAUCAAGGAGAACAUUAGAAGCGGAGUGCUAAAUGUCUCUCGGUCGAUCAUCCAGAUUUUGCUUCCUUGGCCUCGCUAAGGUGAAAUCUGAGAAAGUGUUAUCUUCCUUUGCAUCUGCAUCAUCCAUCAUUAGCCAUCAUGGUAGUAUGUUGUGUUGUCAGCACCCUUGACACGGAUGUUGAUAAAACCUUGAUGAUUGUGGAAAUGCUCAAGUUCUUGAGAGCACGUACAAGCGCUAGGUGUUAUCAUCAGCACUAACUGGGUUUGCUCUCAGUUUCCUCGGCAAUGCUAUGACCUUUUCAAACAAUGAAUUCACUCUCUGUUGUUGGGUUCUUCCCUAGUUACCAGAAUCAUUCCCAGCAUUUGCAUUUUGUUCCCAGCUUGCACCACCAAUGUGCCAUUCUACCACGGGUCUCUUCCAUUUCCGGUGAUAAGGAAAUUCAUCCAUUACGUUGUCUUCAACAAGGUAAUCCACAUCAUCCAAGUCCGAGUAUGCCAUUCUAUCGACCCCCGCCAAUCGAUUGCUGUGUUUUGCCUUAGGCUGAUAUAGAGAGUCUCAAUGAUCUCUAUAUCAAAGGUAAUUCUUUUUGCCACUUAAGGGGAUAUAUCUACAAGUCACCUUCCCUAAGGUGCAUCGUUAUGGUAUCAUGGCAAUUCAACUCCUCGCUACGUUGACAACCGAUCACCACAUUCUUAAGUCUGGAAUUGUUGUCUACCUAGUGAACCUUUGUCAUCUGCUUCACUCCAUUCCUAUGGAUGUGUGCUUCGUCUCUCAGCCCGAGAGAGGUUGCUAUGUCUCAUUCCGUGAGUUAAUCCUGAGUUGUUCGAUCUUCGAGAAGAUCGAUCCUCCUAGAGUCUCCUUCUCCUCUCAUUGUCGUAAUAACUGGAGUUCUCAGAGCUAGACGACAAGACAAAGAUGGUGAUUGAAUCAACGUUCAUUUGAAGUGCAACCUGGAUCGUGAAGAUUAUACUAGUUUGCGUUUCCCCUUCAUCCUACCCUACGCUUGAAUCUCGAGACGAGAUUCUUGUUUAGUGGGGGUGAGUUGUCACAUCCCUAGCCUCUGGUGCUGCCUGGUGUUUGCAUCAUGUUUAAAUUCUGAAACUUGAACUGAGGGAAAUUGGAAGCCUCAAAACCCUAAAUAAAAGAAGGGCAAAAACCCUAAAAUCUCAUUCAUUUGUUCCAAAAUGCUCUUCUUAAAUGUUUGAUAAUUUUUGGCAAGGGUUCUGGUCCCAACCAAAAUAUUGAACAUUUUUAAGGAUUUAUUUUUGGGACUUUGAAUUUAAAUCAUUAGCUAUUUGAAUUUGAAUUAUAUUCAUAUAAUUAGAAUAUAAUUCAAAUACCCCUGAAAUAUUUUAUGAGCUUUUGGAAAAGUCCAUCUAGCAAAAUAAAAAUAUUCAGAGGAGCUUUUGGCAUUGUUUGAAUUAUUUUUUAAAUUCAAAACAGUGGCAAAAUAAAUUGAAAAACAAAACAGAAGAAAAAUAUGAAACAGAACAGAACUUACCUGGCGCCCACUUACCUGGCCCAGCUCCUCCAGCGGCCCAGCCCAGCCCAUCUACCUCGCCGCUCGUCGUCUUCCUCUGCCAGUAGGCAGAGGCGAGGCGUGGCGCGCGCCCGAGAGCCCCGGCCACCUCCUGCUUCGCGCUGGAGGCCGCCCUUCGUCCUAAUCCAUGCCACGGAGCGCCACGCAGCCCCUGGCUCUCUCUCACUCUCUCCCUCGCCUCAUCCUCUCCUCUGCUCUCUCUCCCUCUCUGCCCGAGUGGAGCUCGUCGCCACCGACGCCGUUCGCCGCGGCCACAGCCACCCCCUCGCUCCCUCCUCGCAUCCCUGAGCUCCGUCCCGACCCCAUGAAGAUCUACCACGACGCAUGCGACGCCGGGUGCCCUGUAGCCACGCCAUCACCGCCAUCUUCAUCGCCACGGCCGGCGAUCGCCGCCGUUCGAUUCGCAGCACCGAAGACGCCCCCGAGCUCGCUGACCACCUCAUCGUUCUCCCUGUGAGCUCCUGCUGCCUCCUCUUUGCUCGCUCCCUCUGUUCCCGUCCCCUAGCUCCAUCUUCCACCACGGCCGAAGCUCGCCGCCGCCGUGCCUCGUUGCCGUCGUGGCCAGAGCCACUGUGGCUCGAAGCCGGGCACACCAUCGUGCUCCACACCUCACCAGGAGCACGUAGCACGCACCAACGCCUCCCCUAGCGCCCUGCAUCGCCUAACCCGCCGUUGGCCGAACUCCGGCCGCCGCCUCCCUCGCCGCUGCCGACGCCACAGCUAACCCCAACUCCUCUGGCUUGCUCCAUUGGAUGCGCAUGAGCUCGAGCUUCCUGUAUAACCCCUCCGCGCGUCGAAUGGGCGCCGGAGCAACCAUCCCGGCGAGCCACCGCCGCGUCUGGUCGUUGCCGGCGGCUAGACGCCGGUGGAUUAGCCCGGUUGACCAGGGAUUUGACCCCCCUGGGUCACUGACGUGUGGGCCCGUCCCCUGCUAACUUUUGGUUAAGUUAAUAACUAAGUUUAAUUAAGCCACUGACUCACUGACAUGCGGGCCCGGCCCAACUAAUUAAACUAGGUUAGGUUUAAGUUAUAUUAGGAUUAGCCGUAGUCACUGACCAGUGGGCCCCACUGGUCAGGUUUGACCCGGACCAGCCCAGUUGACUCUGCUGACGUCACAGUGACGUGGUGCUGACGCCAUAAAUCAUUUCUAGAUUUAUUAUUAUUCAGGAAAUUCCAGAAAUAGCUAAAACUUCAAUAAAUCAUAGAAAAUUAACCGUAACUCCAAAUCAAAUAAUUUAUAUAUGAAAAAUUAUCAGAAAAAUUCAAGGAAUCCAUCUGUACCAUUUUCAUGCAUGUUAGAACAACUUAUAGAUGCUGUUUAGCACAAAUCAUAUUAAGGGCAUUUAAAUAAACAUAUAUGGAGUUGGAAUUUGAAUCAUGUAUUCAAACCAACUUCAUUUAAAUCAUAGCUAGAUGCAUUAGCCCAAAAAACAUUCAUUUUGCCAUGUCAUGAUCAUGCAUCAUAUUGUGCAGUGCAUUGAUUGUGUUCCCUUCUGUGUUGCCGGUAUUUGUCCCCUCUCGAUAGACGUGAUACCGGCGAUGUGAUCGAUGACACCGAUGAAGAACUAUAUUAUCUUCAGAAGUGCCAGGCAAGCAAAACCCCCUUGUUCAUUCCGAUACAAUCCUACUCUCUUGCUCCUGCUCUCUUUUACUGCAUUAGGACAACAUCGAUUCAUCUGUUACUUGCUGCGGUAGCUGAACCCCUUUAUCCUUUGCAUGACCUGUCAUUGCCACAGUAAAUAGAUGAAACCCACUAGCAUGAGUAGGAGUUGUUUGAGCCUUGUUGUGCCUACUCAUUCAUGUUUGUUUGUCAUGCCUGCUACUGCUUAGAGUUGAGUCAGGUCUGAUUCAUCCGGGAUGAAUCAGAGGUGUGUGAACAUGUCCUACGGUGUGUGAGCUAAGCGUGUGAACACGAUUUGGUAAAGGUAGCAGUGAGAGGCCAUGUAGGAGUACAUGGUGGGUUGUCUCAUUGCAGCCGUCCUCAGGAACUGAGUUCUGUGUUUGUGAUCCAUGAUUCAGCUACUACCACGCAUUGGGCCCGAAACCAAUGGACCCUCUCGGCUUCUUGGUCACCCUUGUCCUCUGUCCAGGAGUUGCAAGUAGUUUCUGGUGUUUGUAGUAUGCUGGAGGCCGUGCGCAGCGCUGACCGUAGGGGUGGGCUGUGAUGCGGUAGGCACGUGGCCGGGUAAACCGGGCGCCCGUUUGGUGUCUCGGGAACCCUGUUCACAUCGUUUGGGGCUGUGAGCGAAACUCCGACCGGAUCUCCUCAUGGAUGGAACCCGAAUAGGCGAUAAACCUGGACUAGAGACUUGAGUGUUUAGGUAGGCCGUGGCCGACACCCACGUUGGGCUUCCGCUUGAAGGUUGCCGAGUACAUGUCGUGUAAACGGCGGUAAGUGGUGAGAGCGUGUGUGAAGAAGUACACCCCUGCAGGGUUAACAUCAUCUAUUCGAAUAGCCGUGUCCGCGGAAAAGGACUUCUGGGUUGCUUAUAUCAGUUCAUAGACAAGUGAAAGUGGAUACUCUAAAAUACGCAAGAUAAGCGUGAGUGCUAUGGAUGGCGUUCUCGUAGGGAGACGGGAGCGGAUCCAUAGUGGUGUAUUGAUAUGGUGAAUAUGUGGACUCGUGUGCGCCACCUCAAAGAGUUACUUGCAGUCGUAGUUUAGGAUAGCCACCGAGUCAAAGCUGGCUUGCUGCAGUUAAACUCCACCAUCCCCUUUGUUGAUAAUGAUGCAUAUGUAGUUAGUUCUGAUGUAAGUCUUGCUGGGUACAUUUGUACUCACGUUUGCCUAUUUUAUGUUUUUGCAGAGAGACUUCGGUCUCGCUAGUAGUUCCGCGUGGACUUCGACGUUUAGCUUGAUACCUCAGCUACGAUCUUGUGCCCUCGGCAGGAUCUGGUAGAUAGUCAGGCUUCUCAGCCUCUUUUUCAUUUAUAGUUGUCUGUACUCAGACAUGUUAAGCUCUCGCAUGUGCUUUGACUUGUAUGCUCUGAUUGUUGGGUCAUGAGACCCAUGAUUGUAAUGUCUCGCUCCUCGGAGCCUAUUGAAUAAACUACUUGAGUCGUAGAGUCAUUUUGUGAUGCCAUGUUGUAUUGCACAUAUCGAGCAUAUUGUGUGUAUGUUAUUGAAAUGCUUGGUAUGUGUGGGAUCUGACUAUCUAGUUGUUUAUCCUUAGUAGCCUCUCUUACCGGGAAAUGUCUCCUAGUGUUUCCACUGAGCCAUGGUAGCUUGCUACUGCUCCGGGACACUUAGGCUGGCCGGCAUGUGUCCUUCUUCGUUCAUGUGUCUGUCCCUUCGGGGAAAUGUCACGCGAUGAAUACCGGAGUCCUGUUAGCCCGCUACAGCCCGGUUCACCGGAGUCCUGCUAGCCCAGUGCUACAGCCUGGAUUCACUCGUUGAUGACCGACACGUUCGAUGCUGGGUCAUCGAUGCCUGUCCCUGUAAGUUUGUGCCACUUUGGGUUUACGACUAGUCAUGUCAGCCCGGGCUCUUUAUCAUAUGGAUGCUAGUGACAUCAUCAUAUACGUGAGCCAAAAGGCACAAACGGUCCCGGGGAAAGGUAAGGCGACACCCGUGGGAAUAUCGUGCGUGAGGCCGCAAAGUGAUAUGAGGUGUUACAUGCUAGAUCGAUCUGGCAUUGAGUUCGGGUCCUGACAUACGGCGAGAACCUGCGGCUCAACUGGAGCUUGACGUUCCCCGGCAAGCUCGCCGGAGCAAAACUUUUCGGGAGCGUCUGCUUCAACGGAACAAACCCUAAGGCUUGCCGGAGCAGACUGCUCCUCAGCACCUUCGGUGUUGAUCUUGAGGACCUUCUUGGUGGCGGCUUCGGGGAGCUCUGCCGGAAAAUAGUCACCAGAAAUCAACUUCCUCUUCUUGCUCUGUCCAGUUGAUGGUGUUACAGACGGUUGAGUCAGCUUGAGCACAAAGAUCCCUGGUUCCAUAGGUAACUUAAGUGCGGCGCACUUUGACAGGCCAUCGACAAUGUCGUUCUGAGCUCUUGGAACAUUUUCCAUCUGUAGGCCGUCAAAGUGCUCUUCUAGCUUUCUCACUUCAUCAACGUAGGCUUCCAUCAACGGACUCUGAUAAUUCUUGUUCACUUGGCGGACGACAAGCUGUGAGUCACCCCUGACAAUGAGCUUUUUGAUCCCAAGGUCUGCUGCGAUCCUGAGACCGGCAAGCAAACCUUCAUACUCUGUGGUAUUGUUCGUUGCUUGCUCCUUGGGAAAGUGCAUCUGAACUACGUACUUGAGGUGCUCUCCGGUGGGUGCAACAAGUAGCACGCCCGCAGCGGUGCCUUGCAGCGAGAAGGCACCAUCAAAGUACAUCAGCCACUCUUUGCUUGCUUCCUUAACGGGGAUGCUUGUUUUUGGAAUUUCUUCAUCUUGUGUUGGCGUCCACUCUGCUAUGAACUCUGCCAAUGCUCUGCUUUGGAUAGUUGAAGUGCUCUCAAACUUGAGGCCAAAGCUUGACAGUUCCAGUGCCCACUCGACAAUCCUGCCUGUUGCUUUUGGAUUUUGCAGUAUCCUCUUCAGCGGAAAACGAGUGACGAUUGUGAUCUCAUGUGCUUGGAAGUAAUGGCGCAGCUUUAUUGAGGCCAUGAGAAGGACGAAAAGCAAUUUCUGCACACCAGAGUACCUUGACCUAGCCCCUUGCAGAAGGGAACUGACAAAGUAAACUGGGCGCUGCACCAUUCUUUUCUGCAUCUUCUCACGCACCUGCGCGGAUCCAUCUUUGUCGGGACCAGAGCUUGUCGGUGAAGUCCCUUGCUUGUCGCUGGAUGCAUCUGCCGUGGUUGCUGGCUCAUCAUCCGCAUCCCUCUCCGCUACUAACGCAGCACUAACCACUUGAUUGGUUGCCGCUAUAUACAGUAGCAACUUCUCUUGUGGCUUAGGUGCGACAAGCGUUGGAGUGGAGGACAGGUAUCUCUUUAAGUCUUGUAGCGCAGCCUCCGCUUCCGAGUCCAUCUCAUUGGUCCUGCCUUUUUCAAUAUUUUGAAAAAUGGCAGGGCGCGCUCAGCAGACCUAGAGAUAAACCUGCUGAGAGCAGCUACGCAACCGGCAAGUCUUCGUACAUCCUUGACGCGCUUUGGUGCUUCAAUCUGCUCAAUGGCCUUGAUCUUGUCAGGAUAGGCUUCAAUUCCCCGCUGAGACACGAAGAACCAGAGAAGUUUGCCGGAGGGGACUCCAAACACACACUUCUCGGGGUUAAGCUUGAGGUUGAUCUUGCGCAGAUUUGCAAAGGUUUCGUCUAAGUCUUGAAUCAGAGUCGCCUUGUCCUUGCUCUUGACCACUAUGUCAUCCAUGUAGGCUUCCACAUUUCUGUGUAUUUGUGGUUCAAAAGCGUCAUGGACUACCCUUGCAAAUGUUGAACCAGCAUUUUUUAAACCGAAAGGCAUCCGUACGAAACAGUAUGUGCCACAUGGGGUGAUGAAUGCGGUCUUCUCUUCAUCCUCUUCUGCCAUGAAGAUCUGAUGGUAUCCUGAGUAUGCAUCAAGAAAUGAAAGCAAGUCACAUCAGGCCGUGGAGUCAACAAUCUGGUCGAUGCGCGGCAAGGGAAAUGGGUCUUUGGGACAAGCUUUAUUGACAUCGGUAAAGUCGAUACAAAGCCUCCAUUUCCCGUUUGCCUUGCGCACAACUACAGGGUUGGCCAACCACGUAGGAUGGAGCACUCCUCUAACGAGGCCUGCUGCUUCCAAUUUCUUGAUUUCUUCUGCGAUGAAUUCUUGGCGCUCCACUGCCUGUUUCCUGACUUUCUGCUUGACGGGCCGCGCAUGAGGACAGAUGGCAAGAUGGUGCUCGAUUACUUUCCUGGGAACACCGGGGAUGUCAGACGGUUGCCAUGCAAAUACGUCGACAUUCGCCCACAGGAAAGCAACGAGCGCGCUUUCCUAUUUAGGGUCGAGAGUGGCACUGAUGGUGAAGGUACCACCAGUGCCAUCCUCCUUGGCGGACACCUUCUUGGUCUCUGGUGGAGCUACCAUUGUUUUCUUACACUUGCCGGUGGAGCUUGAUGGUGCGUCCUCGACGGUAGCGCAGCACUCCGAAGAGGUGCGCUUGCCGGAGUGGGCAUCAGAACUCUUGCCGGACUUGGUCUUCUUCUUCGCCCCGGGAGCUUCGACGGCAAGUGACUUGCGAUCUGUUGCGGCUACUGCUUCCCGGUAGAUCUUGUCGGCGCAGAUAAGAGCAUCCUUUUUGUCGCCAGGGACAGAGAUGACACUUAUCGGGCCUGGCAUCUUCAGCAUGUUGUAUGCAUAGUGAGAGGCUGCCAUGAACUUGGCGAGUGCUGGACGGCCGAGUAUCGCAUUGUAAGGCAAUGGAAAGUCAACAACGUCGAAAGUGACCCUCUCAGUCCUGAAGUUCAACUCGCUGCCAAAUGUCACCGGUAAUGUGAGCUUUCCCUUCGGCUUGCUCCUUCCCGGAUUGAUGCCUUGGAAUGUGCCGGUCUCUUCGAGCUCGCCAUCAGGGAUCUGGAGUUUCUGGAGUACCGCGGAGGAGAUCAGGUUCAAGCCGGCCCCGCCGUCAACUAGCAUCUUAGUGACCUUGAGGUUGCGGAUAGUUGGUGAAACCAACAUCGGUAAGCACCCGACCGCAGUUAUGCGAUCAGGGUGGUCCUCAAUAUCAAAGAUGAUAGGCGUGCUGGACCAUUUCAGAGGCUUGCAUGACUCGAUGGGUGGUUCUGCUGCAUUGACUUCCGGCACCCACUGCUUGAGCUGGCGGUGUGAAGUAUGCAGAGAAGCACCGCCGUCAACGCACAAGACCUCUAUGGCUUUCUGGAACUCCUGCUCAUCGGCCUCGUCAUCAUCCAUAUCUUCAUCGUCGUCGUCAUCUUCAUCCUUGUCGCGGCCGCGGGGAGGUCUGUCUCCUUGCCGCUGCUUGGCCUUGCCGCGGCGUCCUCCUCGGCCGGGGCGUUUCUUGCUGGCUCCUCCAGCACCUUCCUGGGCCUUCUCCUUGUCGCGUCGCUCGUAUUCAGCGUUUUGCUGCUCGACAAGCUGCUCGACCUUCUUACAACUCUGGAGGUCAUGGCCCUUGGUGCGGUGGAUCUUGCAGUACUGCUUGUUGGUGCCGUCCUGCUUGUCGGCGACCGCCACAGCCUCCUAGCCGGAGUUACCAGCUUUGGCUUUCUUGGCGCCACCUCCAUUGCCGGACUGCUCAACGACUAGCACAUCUUUGCCUUUCUUCUUCCUGUUGUUCCGCCGCUGGUUUUUCUUUGCCGGGGCAGUCUCCUCACUAUCAGAUCCUCCUGCUCCUAUAUUCUCUCCAGGGAGUUUCCUCCCUUCCUCAGCACGUGCACACUUGUCGGCCAGGGCAUAUAGCUCACUGACGUCUCUGAUCUUGCACAUCGCCAUCUCCUCCCGCAUCCUGCGGUUUCGCACGUUCUGAUGGAACGCGCUGAUUACCGCGGCAGGGUGGACAUCUGGGAUGUUGUGCUGUACAUGGCUGAAUCUCUGAAUAUACUUGCGCAGGGGCUCUCCUUCCUUCUGGGCGAGCAGAUGAAGGUCACUCUCUUGGCCAUGAGGCUUGUGGCUGCCUGUAAAGGCGCUGACAAACUGAUGGCAUAGGUCUACCUAGGAGGAUAUGGAGUUGUCCGGCAAGUGCAUGAGCCAAGAUCUGACAUUGGGCUUGAGCACUAGUGGGAAGUAGUUGGCUAGGAUCUUGUCGUCCCGCCCCCCGGCAGCUUGCACCGCGAUGGUGUAGAUGCUAAGGAACUCCGACGGAUGCGACUUGCCGUCGUACUUCUCUGGCACGUCUGGCUUGAAAUUCUUCGUGCUGGGCCACUGGACUUGCCGCAGCUCACGAGUGAACGCAGGGCAACCUACCGCGUACGGCAAGUCGCCUGGUUCCCCUGGCGCAUGCAUGUCGACAGAGGGCCCAGCGCGCUGGUCUGAUUAACGCCGCGCUUCUCUUCGGCGCUCGAUGCGAGUACGAGCGUCUUCUUGCUGUCGUUCGUGAAGAACUUGGCGCUGAUCGCGACGAGCUCGUGGAUCUGAUGAUGCGGUGGAGUCGCUGUCGAGGUGGAUCCGGCGAGUCGGCGAUCUUGGUCUUCGGGGUGGAGAGUGCAUGGUGGUCGCACCCCCACCGGUUUCGUCGCCAUCGGCUCGUGCCUGGCGGUCCUGCCAUGGCAGCGAUGCACUCGGCUGCCGCGGAGUGUCGCCGUUGGCGAAGCCGAUGAGACUCUGAAUGGUGGACCUCCAUUCAUCGAUCUUGUCUGCCGUUGGAGGGUAAUCCAGGAGCAGUUGAGCUCGCGCCAAAGCUUCUGCUAGAGUGGUGGGCGGCAGUGGCGAACGGUACGAGGAGCGGGAUAUGCUCGGACUUCUAACUAUGUUAGAAGGAGCAGUAUCCCGUCUAGGCGACCGUGUCUCGCUCGUGCCAGCACGUUGGCAUGCAUGCUGGUCUUGAGCACCCCGAGAUCCACCAGCUCGAUCUUGGUCCAACAAACGUAUGGCACUGCGAAUACCAUGACACUGUCGAUCCUGCGCCUCCUGAGACGGGCGCGGUGCAUGUACUGACGCCGAGGUCUGCGCAGCCUUGUCCUUGGACCUGACAGCACCGUGAGCUCCCUCGUCGACGCCCGUUCUUCCGCCGGCGUCUACCCCACCACUCGUUUGCUCCGGUGGUGGUGGGAUCGACGUGGACGGAACAGCUGCCGCCGAAGUCUUCUUCUUCGGUGGCAUGUUGAUGAAGAAUAUGAAGAUCUAGCUCGUGUGAAUGCCGGAUCAGGUUCACACAACCUCGACUCCCCCUACCUGGCACGCCAAAGAUGUCGGGGAAACUGAUCCACGAACACCUAUGGGACCGGCAGACCGAGCCCCUUUCGGUUCGGCGGGGGGCGGAGAUCGCACGAAGAGCGGAUCGAGGCGAAGCACACGAGCAGUUUACCCAGCUUCGGAGCUCUCCGGAGAGAUAACACUCCUACUGCUGCAUGUCUGAGUGUAUUGAGUUCUUGCUCGGGAGCGCUGAGUGCUACAGUACACACUAGCUGCUAACGAGACCGAACGUGAGUGUUUUUCUGCCUCCCGAACCCCCCUCUACGUUGCGCAUGGGCCUCCUUUUAUAUGCUGAAGGGGUCACCAACAGGUGGCAACGUAGAUAAGGGUAAAAAUGGAAAAGGAAUUGCGGUUGGUACAACCACCUGUAGAGUGUAUCCUACCUAACCCUGAUGGCAGGGGACAAAGGCAUUAAAUGCCCGUCUGCGUCGCCCAAAUAGUGCAGAAAGGGACCGUCAGGGACGCCACCGCUCACCACGAUGGCAGUCUUGUCAGCGUCGCUUGCCACCGCGCACCGCUGGCUGCACAGCCUCCUGCCACGCGCGCCUGGAAAGGCCCCAGGGCGACACGUUGGUGGAUGUGCUGGAGCGCGGGUACAGAGUGGUAGCUUGCCGCGGCAAGCGCCUUGCCGCGGCCGUUGUCUUGUCGCGUCCGGAAGCUUGUCGCUCGCCGGGCCUUGCCGGGACGCGUGGCGCGUCGCGGCAAGUUCCUUGAGAUGCCUUGGUUGGCCAUCCCGGCAAGCUCCUCUUGCCGGGGCCUUGUCUCCUUGGCUUGAAUACUUUGUUCUUGAAUGGUUCCAAAGGAAACACGAAGGACCUUGGCGGUCAACCGGCAAGCCUUGCCGUGGGGUGCUGCGACUGCCCGUGCACAAGUUCGGAAUACUAGGGUACCCCUACUCUAGUACACCGACACUUUCCAUAUUAUUUCAUAAAAAUGAAUCAGCACAGUUCAUAUUUGAUUUCAAGACAACGAAAUUCGAAAAGAGGUGAAUCAAAUGGUAUUAUUUCAAAGUUGUAUAACAUAUAUCAUCACUACUAGAAAACAUUUUGUACGAGGCUAAGGUGCAAACAUUUAUAAAAUGAUAAUUGUACCGAUUUUUUGGGAUUUUUCGAUUCCUAUGGAAUUAAGAGGUCAUCUAUUGGCCUAUCCUUAUUUGUAAUUUCAAAUAGUUAUUUUUUGGUGCACUUCUAUUUUAGAAAUGAAUCAGUUGCCAAUUAUGCUUGAUGUUUCAAGCAGAACUAGAAUUGGUAAACAAAUAUAUGUGAAGCAUAUAUGGAGGCGGGAGUCUGGUUUGGUUUUUUUGCUAUGUGCCUAUUUGCUUAAGAAAAUACUUGACUGUAGAGCAGAUUUCAAAUGGAGCUGCAUUUUCAUGCAUUGGGGGCAGAAGUAGAAUAAAUAGUAAAUCUUGAUCUUAUGGAGUGAUGAUUUACAUUCUUUGUGUGAUGAGAUAAUACACAACCUAGGUGUUAUUUAGCUUGCUGCUGUACAAUGACUAUCAUGAUGUGUAGUUUCUGAAUAUUGAGUCCUCGAGUUUUGGGGAAUGGUGCGCUCUAAUUUGGAAAUGGUAUUUCCUAAUGUAUUCGCACAGUUAGAUAUCAUAUUAUAUAUUUUUUUUCUCUUACUUGAAAUUUCUGCCAUGUAAAGCUAGGUUGUCUUUGAUUUGUUGUGUGUUAGGUAUUGAACAGACUGGCUUGUUUGGCUAACCUUCCUUUCCUUUUAUUUUGCAGGCUUUAGAAUCACUAAGGUUGCUCUUUCUCUGUUCCUUUGGUCAAGGUCUGUCCUUGUCAUUCUUUUCUAACCACUGCACUUUUCUACCCUAUUUGUUUACUGCUUAUUGUCGUGUUAAUUCCUCUGUUCCUGAUUUUUCCAGGUGUCGUGUUUGUGUGUUUGUUUUUGUGGUGCUGCUUAUAUGUGUGACUACCGUGUG
rnacentral:lncRNA from 1 species